rnacentral:ncRNA from 1 species
UGACGUUAUAGCUGUUCUUAGUUGGUGGAGCGAUUUGUCUGGUUACUUCCCAUAACGAACGAGACUUUAAACUAUUAAAUAGUAGACUGAUCCUCUGUGGCGUGGCUUCUAUUGCUUCUUUAUGGAGUAGUGUGGUCGUGAUCUGGCGGGUACCGUGCUAGCUUUUACUUCUUUAGAGGGACAGACCUCACAUUGAAGUCGUACGAAUUUGAGCAAUAACAGGACUGUGAUGUC